GUGACUGCGUACCUUUUGUAUAAUGGGUCAGCGACUUAUAUUUAGUAGCAAGGUUAAGCGAAUAGCGGAGCCGUAGCGAAAGCGAGUGUUAACUGCGCGUUUAGUUGCUAGGUAUAGACCCGAAACCCGGUGAUCUAGCCAUGGGCAGGUUGAAGGUUGAGUAACAUCAACUGGAGGACCGAACCCACUAACGUUGAAAAGUUAGGGGAUGACUUGUGGCUGGGGGUGAAAGGCCAAUCAAACCGGGAGAUAGCUGGUUCUCCCCGAAAUCUAUUUAGGUAGAGCCUCGGACGAAUUCCAUUGGGGGUAGAGCACUGUUAAGGCUAGGGGGUCAUCCCGACUUACCAACCCUUUGCAAACUCCGAAUACCAAUGAGAACUAUCCGGGAGACACACGGCGGGUGCUAACGUCCGUCGUGAAGAGGGAAACAACCCAGACCGCCAGCUAAGGUCCCAAAAUAUUGCUAAGUGGGAAACGAUGUGGGAAGGCAUAGACAGCUAGGAGGUUGGCUUAGAAGCAGCCACCCUUUAAAGAAAGCGUAAUAGCUCACUAGUCGAGUCGGCCUGCGCGGAAGAUGUAACGGGGCUAAGCAAUAUACCGAAGCUGCGGAUACGUGUUUACACGUAUGGUAGGGGAGCGUUGUGUAAGUGGAUGAAGGUGGAUUGAGAAGUCUGCUGGACAUAUCACAAGUGCGAAUGCUGACAUGAGUAACGAUAAUGGGAGUGAAAAACUCCCACGCCGGAAGACCAAGGUUUCCUGUCCCAUGCUAAUCAGGGCAGGGUAAGUCGGCCCCUAAGGCGAGGCAGAAAUGCGUAGUCGAUGGGAAACGGAUUAAUAUUUCCGUACUUAUAUAAUCAGUGACGGAGGGACGGAGAAGGCUAAGCAAGCUUGGCGUUGGUUGUCCAAGUGAAAGCAAGUAGGCCGAGAAUUUAGGUAAAUCCGGAUUCUUAAAGCUGAGAUGCGAGACGAGCUACUACGGUAGUGAAGUUGUUGAUGCCCUGCUUCCAGGAAAAGCUUCUAAACUUAUGAUUAUAUGAACCGUACCCCAAACCGACACAGGUGGUCAGGUAGAGAAUACUAAGGCGCUUGAGAGAACUCGGGUGAAGGAACUCGGCAAAAUUGUACCGUAACUUCGGGAGAAGGUACGCCCUUGUUUGUGAUAGGACUUGCUCCUUGAGCAGAUGAGGGCCGCAGUGACCAGGUGGCUGGGACUGUUUAUUAAAAACACAGCACUCUGCUAACUCGCAAGAGGACGUAUAGGGUGUGACACCUGCCCGGUGCCGGAAGGUUAAUUGAUGGGGUUAUCUUCGGAGAAGCUCUUGAUCGAAGCCCCGGUAAACGGCGGCCGUAACUAUAACGGUCCUAAGGUAGCGAAAUUCCUUGUCGGGUAAGUUCCGACCUGCACGAAUGGUGUAACCAUGGCCACGCUGUCUCCACCCGAGACUCAGUGAAAUUGAAAUCGCAGUGAAGAUGCUGUGUACCCGCACCUAGACGGAAAGACCCCGUGAACCUUUACUACAGCUUGGCACUGAACAUUGAACCUACAUGUGUAGGAUAGGUGGGAGGCUUCGAAGCACAGUCGCUAGAUUGUGUGGAGCCAUCCUUGAAAUACCACCCUUGUAUGUUUGAUGUUCUAACAUUGGUCCCUUAUCGGGAUUAUGGACAGUGUCUGGUGGGUAGUUUGACUGGGGCGGUCUCCUCCCAAAUAGUAACGGAGGAGCACGAAGGUUAGCUAAUCACGGUCGGACAUCGUGAGGUUAGUGCAAUGGCAUAAGCUAGCUUAACUGCGAGACAGACACGUCGAGCAGGUACGAAAGUAGGUCAUAGUGAUCCGGUGGUUCUGUAUGGAAGGGCCAUCGCUCAACGGAUAAAAGGUACUCCGGGGAUAACAGGCUGAUACCGCCCAAGAGUUCAUAUCGACGGCGGUGUUUGGCACCUCGAUGUCGGCUCAUCACAUCCUGGGGCUGAAGUCGGUCCCAAGGGUAUGGCUGUUCGCCAUUUAAAGUGGUACGCGAGCUGGGUUUAGAACGUCGUGAGACAGUUCGGUCCCUAUCUGGUGUGGGCGUUGGAUGAUUGAUGGGAGCUGCUCCUAGUACGAGAGGACCGGAGUGGACGAACCGCUGGUGUUCGGGUUGUCAUGCCAAUGGCAUUGCCCGGUAGCUACGUUCGGAACGGAUAACCGCUGAAAGCAUCUAAGCGGGAAGCCGGCCCAAAGAUGAGUCAUCCCUGACUUUUAAAGUCCGGAAGGGUUGUUAUAGACGAUGACGUUGAUAGGCAGGAUGUGGAAGCGUUGUAAGGCGUUAAGCUAACCUGUACUAAUUGCCCGAGAGGCUUAACCAU
rnacentral:rRNA from 1 species